CACGUAGGGGCCGAGCGUUGUCCGGAGUUACUGGGCGUAAAGGGCGCGCAGGCGGCCACGUACCUCUCUGGUGAAAGCCCCGGGCUCAACCCGGGAGGGUCCAGGGAGAUGGCGUGGCUGGAGGCAGGGCGAGGGCGGUGGAAUUCCGGGUGUAGUGGUGAAAUGCGUAGAUAUCUGGAGGAACACCGGUGGCGAAGGCGACAUCCUGGACCGGUAUUGACGCUGAGGCGCGAAAGCCAGGGGAGCAAACGGG
rnacentral:rRNA from 1 species